CUCCUACGGGAGGCAGCAGUGGGGAAUAUUGGACAAUGGGGGCAACCCUGAUCCAGCCAUGCCGCGUGGGUGAAGAAGGCCUUCGGGUUGUAAAGCCCUUUUGUACGGGACGAAAAGCGUACGGUGAACAUCCGUGCGUGCUGACGGUACCGUAAGAAUAAGCACCGGCUAACUUCGUGCCAGCAGCCGCGGUAAUACGAAGGGUGCAAGCGUUACUCGGAAUUACUGGGCGUAAAGCGUGCGUAGGUGGCGAGUUAAGUCUGAUGUGAAAUCCCCGGGCUCAACCUGGGAAUGGCAUUGGAUACUGGCUUGCUGGAGUGCGGUAGAGGGUGGUGGAAUUCCCGGUGUAGCAGUGAAAUGCGUAGAGAUCGGGAGGAACAUCCGUGGCAAAGGCGGCCACCUGGACCAGCACUGACACUGAGGCACGAAAGCGUGGGGAGCAAACAGGAUUAGAUACCCUGGUAGUCCACGCCCUAAACGAUGCGAACUGGACGUUGGUGGGAACUUGCCCAUCAGUGUCGAAGCUAACGCGUUAA
rnacentral:rRNA from 1 species